rnacentral:rRNA from 1 species
UACGGGGGGUGCGAGCGUUGUCCGGAAUCACUGGGCGUAAAGGGCGCGUAGGUGGCUUGGUAAGCGUGUGGUGAAAGCCCGGGGCUCAACCCCGGGUCUGCCAUGCGAACUGCUAUGGCUUGAGCACUGUAGAGGCAGGUAGAAUUCCGGGUGUAGCGGUGGAAUGCGUAGAGAUCCGGAAGAAUACCGGUGGCGAAGGCGACUACCUGGCCUGUUCUUGACGCUGAGGCGCGAAAGCUAGGGGAGCAAACGGG